rnacentral:rRNA from 1 species
CUUGGUCAUUUAGAGGAAGUAAAAGUCGUAACAAGGUUUCCGUAGGUGAACCUGCGGAAGGAUCAUUACAGAAAGUAAACGCGGAUCAAACCGCGAACUUCUAAACCUUUGACGAUUGACUCAUGUUGCCUCGGCGGGUUCUCCCGCCAGAGGAUACAUCAAAACUCCUGUUUUAACGGUGUUGUCUGAGCUACAAGCAACGAAUCAAAACUUUCAACAACGGAUCUCUUGGUUCUGGCAUCGAUGAAGAACGCAGCGAAAUGCGAUAAGUAGUGUGAAUUGCAGAAUUCAGUGAAUCAUCGAAUCUUUGAACGCACAUUGCGCCCCUUGGUAUCCCGAGGGGCAUGCCUGUUCGAGCGUCAUUUCACCACUCAAGCCUGGCUUGGUGUUGGGCGACGUCCCCUUUGGGGACGCGCCUCGAAACGCUCGGCGGCGUGGCACCGGCUUUAAGCGUAGCAGAAUCUUUCGCUUUGAAAGUCGGGGCCCCGUCUGCCGGAAGACCUACUCGCAAGGUUGACCUCGGAUCAGGCAGGGAUACCCGCUGAACUUAAGCAUAUCAAUAAGCGGAGGA